AUACCACUGUAAUUUUCACUGCAUACAUCUUAUAAUAGAAGUUGAACUAGAAUAUUAUUAGUAGCAAAUGAGUUUCGUUGUCAUUCAAUUUUUUUUUUUAUGAUGAAGUAUCUAAAUUGACGAUCAACACCGCUGAAUAUGAUCUAUACCACUUGAAAUAUUUAGAAACCAAAUUUUAUAUUUUUUUGAUAUUGUUCUCUUAUUCAUCAAGUGGGUAUAAAAAUAAAUUUUCUUUAAAUCGUAAUGAUAUGAGUUUUGUAAUCAGGAUCAAUAGUAUAGAUAUUGUUUUAAAUAGUUUAAAAUUUUUCUAAUUAAAAUUUAAUUGAUUUGAAUAUCUUCACACCGUUAAACGAAAAAACGUUUCAUAUGGACCAUUAAAAUUAUAAAUUUUGAAAUCCUUUGAUUAGGCCAAUAAUGUAAAAAAAAUUAAAAAUUUGAUUUCUAGAUACUUAAGUAGUAUAGAUUAUGUUUAACAGUGCUGACCGUCGAUUUGGAAGCUUCAUCAUCAAAAAUAAAUGGGUGACAAUAGAGUUCGUUUGCUAUCGAUAGCAUUUCAGUCCAACUCCUCAUAAUAAAAUAUCUAUAAUUGUAAUGUAAUUUUAACUGUAUGUGCUUGUGACCGCAUUGUAUUUAAGACUGUAUUCAACAAAAACAAACACCCCCUAUAAACAAAAAGGUUAAUUUCAUACAGGUCCUGCAAACAUAGUGAAUGAUAAAUAUAUCCCUACAAAGUUUAAGUUUCUCCUUGCAAAAGUCCCAAUAUUUUCAAAUAUAUUCCCGCUGUUAGAAUUUGUUAGAAAAUUUUAAUUAGCCAUAGGUUAAAUAUUUAAUCCUGAUUAGUUUUUGACUUUUUAUCCAUUUUAUAUUAUACUAUUAUGUCUUUUGAAGGGAUAUAUUUGUGAUAGCAAAAUUGGAAAUAUAAAAAGUUCUCCAACGAUAACAAAUCAGAGGGAUAUAUUUAAAAAUAUCAGGAUUUUUGAAGGGACGACAUAUGAAUGUUGAAGUUUGUAGGAAUAUAUUUGUCAUUCACUAUUUUUGCAGAAAAAAUUAACCCAAAAAAAAAACUUCAAAUACCACAUCUGUUAUUUUGCGCUCUUUUAUUUUAGUAUUAUAUAGUUUAAAAUAUAUCAAUUUAGUAUCUCGUGAUUUUAUUUCUCUCUUUUUAUUAUCGACUCUACUAAAUUUUUUCAUUAAAUCAGUUAAAAAAAGUUAAAAAUUAAAAAACACUAAAAUAAAUAUUCGAUAAAUCUAAUAAAAUAUUUAAAAAAAUUUAUAUAUAAUUUAAUAAAAUAUUAACACAAGCGCAUGAAGAGAAAAAAAAAAAAAAUCGUAUGGUAAUUGAUACAUUUUAAACGUGAGAAAGUGUGAAAGCACGGUGUGAUAUUUGAAGUUUNCUUAAGUAGUAUAGAUUAUGUUUAACGGUGCUGACCGUCGAUUUGGAAGCUUCAUCAUCAAAAAUAAAUGGGUGACAAUAAAGUUCGUUUGCUAUCGAUAGCAUUUCAGUCCAACUCCUCAUAAUAAAAUAUCUAUAACUGUAAUGUAAUUUUAACUGUAUGUGCUUGUGACCGCAUUAUAUUUAAGACUGUAUUCAACAAAAACAAACACCCCCUAUAAACAAAAAGGUUAAUUCCAUGCAGGUCCUGCAAACAUAGUGAAUGAUAAAUAUAUCCCUACAAAGUUUAAGUUUCUCCUUGCAAAAGUCCCGAUGUUUUCAAAUAUGUUCUCGCUGUUAGAAUUCGUUAGAAAAUUUUAAUUAGCCAUAGGUUAAAUACUUAAUCCUGAUUAGUUUUUUACUUUUUAUUCCUUUUAUAUUAUACUGUUAUACCUUUUGAAGGGACAUAUUUGUGAUGGCAAAAUUGGAAAUAUAAAAAGUUCUCUAACGAUAAUAAAUCAGAGGAAUAUAUUUAAAAAUAUCUGGAUUUUUGAAGGGACGGCAUAUGAAUGUUGAAGUUUGUAGGAAUAUAUUUGUCAUUCACUAUUUUUACAGAAAAAAUUAACCCAAAAAAAAACUUCAAAUACCACAUCUGUUAUUUCGUGCUCUUUUAUUUUAGUAUUAUAUAGUUUAAAAUAUAUCAAUUUAGUAUCUCGUGAUUUUAUUUCUCUCUUUUUAUUAUCGACUCUACUAAAUUUUUCCGUUAAAUCAGUAAAAAAAAAAAAGUUAAAAAUUAAAAAAUAUUAAAAUAAAUAUUCAAUAAAUCUAUAUAAAGUAUUUAAAAAAUUUUAUAUAUAAUUUAAUAAAAUAUUAACCGAAGCGAACGAAAAGAAAAAAAAAAAAUCAUAUGGUAAUUGAUACAUUUUAAACGUGAGAACGUGCGAAAGCACGGUGUGAUAUUUGAAGCUUACCAAAAAUAAAUAAAUAAAUAAAUAAAUUUUGGUCCUCUCUCUCUCUCUCUCUCUCUCUCUC
rnacentral:lncRNA from 1 species